GACGAACGCUGGCGGCGUGCUUAACACAUGCAAGUCGAACGGAAAGGCCCUUCUUUUGUGGGGUUCGCGAGUGGCGAACGGGUGAGUAACACGUGAGUAACCUGCCCUUGACUUGGGGAUAACUUCAGGAAACUGGGGCUAAUACCGGAUAGGAGCUCCUGCUGCAGUGUGGGGGGUGGAAAGUUUCGGCGGUUGGGGAUGGACUCGCGGCUUAUCAGCUUGUUGGGGGGGUAGUGGCUUACCAAGGCUUUGACGGGUAGCCGGCCUGAGAGGGUGACCGGCCACAUUGGGACUGAGAUACGGCCCAGACUCCUACGGGAGGCAGCAGUGGGGAAUAUUGCACAAUGGGCGGAAGCCUGAUGCAGCAACGCCGCGUGCGGGAUGACGGCCUUCGGGUUGUAAACCGCUUUCGCCUGUGACGAAGCGUGAGUGACGGUAAUGGGUAAAGAAGCCCCGGCUAACUACGUG
rnacentral:rRNA from 1 species